UCGAGAAUCUUCGGCAAUGGGCGCAAGCCUGACCGAGCGACGCCGCGUGGAGGAUGAAGGCCUUCGGGUUGUAAACUUCUGUCGAGGGGGGGGAAGGCGUAAGCUUGACCGAUCCCUGGAGGAAGCACGGGCUAAGUUCGUGCCAGCAGCCGCGGUAAGACGAACCGUGCGAACGUUAUUCGGAAUUACUGGGCUUAAAGCGCGUGUAGGCGGACCGGCACGUCGGUUGUUGAAAGCCCCCGGCUCAACCGGGGAAGUGGCACCGAUACGGCCGGUCUGGAGGAAGGUAGGGGGGUCUGGAACUUCCGGUGGAGCGGUGAAAUGCGUUGAGAUCGGAAGGAACGCCCGUGGCGAAAGCGAGGCCCUGGACCUUUUCUGACGCUGAGACGCGAAAGCCAGGGGAGCGAACGG
rnacentral:rRNA from 1 species